GACGAACGCUGGCGGCGUGCUUAACACAUGCAAGUCGAACGGAAAGGCCCUGCUUUUGUGGGGUGCUCGAGUGGCGAACGGGUGAGUAACACGUGAGUAACCUGCACUUGACUUUGGGAUAACUUCAGGAAACUGGGGCUAAUACCGGAUAGGAGCUCCUGCUGCAUGGUGGGGGUUGGUAAGUUUCGGCGGUUGGGGAUGGACUCGCGGCUUAUCAGCUUGUUGGUGGGGUAGUGGCUUACCAAGGCUUGGACGGGUGGCCGGCCUGAGAGGGUGACCGGCCACAUUGGGACUGAGAUACGGCCCAGACUCGUACGGGAGGCAACAGUGGGGAAUAUUGCACAAUGGGCGGAAGCCUGAUGCAGCAACGCCGCGUGCGGGAUGACGGCCUUCGGGUUGUAAACCACUUUCGCCUGUGACGAAGCGUGAGUGACGGUAAUGGGUAAAGAAGCACCGGCUAACUACGUG
rnacentral:rRNA from 1 species